GGGAGGCCGCGCUUGGUCUCCGAGCUCUCGGCGCUUCAAGAGUUAGGCGAGCUCGUCAGCCUCCUCAGGAAAGCUGCGCCCCCGUAGCGGGGAAGCUUUACCCCCAAGAAAUGGGUUGAGGAUUGGGCACCGAGCAGAUGCCCACAGACAGAGGACCGAUGCGUCCCGGGAGAGCUUGCCAGAGCCGCAGGUUCCCUUCAUCUUCAGAAUCCACAGUGGUCCAUCCAGUCUUCCUCAUGAUGAAUCAUUCUGGCGCUGCCUCCUUCUUUUACUUACGAAGACCCUUCUGAUUCCAAUGGGCCCACCCAGCUAAUCCAGGGUGCUGGGAAUUAAACAAGGUAAAGAAUAUCCCAUCCAUUAAGAAGCUGAUAAUCUAUAAACAGAGACAAACAAGUGAGCAAGAAUGAAUUGCUGGGAGAACACGUAUGAGAAGAACCUAACCUGGAAUGUGUUUUCUAAGCAAUUCCUCAGCUUUUGGCAGCAGGAAGACUACUGGAAGAAGAUGAAAAAUAAAUUAAUAAAUAGGUGACAAAGGAGGAAAGGAAGUGGAGGUUUCACUGUGCAUCCUUUUGUUUUGUUGCAUUUCAUACAAAUGUGCAUGUAUUAUGUAUAUUAAAAAGUUGAUGUUUAUGAGAA